CAUCUUCACUAGGGGAGCCGCUUAAUCGGCUGAGAAAAGCAGUACAGCUUUGACUCUUAGUUACCUGAUCUAGAUCAUACUAGCGUAGGGAAGUGAAGCGAGCUUUUG
rnacentral:ncRNA from 2 species